UACGUAGGGUGCGAGCGUUGUCCGGAAUUACUGGGCGUAAAGAGCUCGUAGGUGGUUUGUCGCGUUGUUCGUGAAAACUCACAGCUCAACUGUGAGCGUGCGGGCGAUACGGGCAGACUGGAGUACUGCAGGGGAGACUGGAAUUCCUGGUGUAGCGGUGGAAUGCGCAGAUAUCAGGAGGAACACCGGUGGCGAAGGCGGGUCUCUGGGCAGUAACUGACGCUGAGGAGCGAAAGCGUGGGGAGCGAACCGG
rnacentral:rRNA from 1 species